rnacentral:misc_RNA from 1 species
AGGGGGGCUCGCGUUUUCACACAAACUUGAAGUAGUGUAGAAUGUCCUUUUUUGCGAUAACACGCAAUCAAUACAACUUUCAACAACGGAUCUCUUGGCUCUCGCAUCGAUGAAGAACGCAGCGAAAUGCGAUACGUAAUGUGAAUUGCAGAAUUCAGUGAAUCAUCGAAUCUUUGAACGCACCUUGCGCCCCUUGGCAUUCCGAGGGGCACACCCGUUUGAGUGUCGUGAAAUUCUCAAAACCCUUUCUUUUGGUCAUUUUUGACCAUGGAAAGGAUUUUGGACUUGGAGGCCUUUUUGCUGGUUUCAACCUUGAAGCGAGCUCCUCCCAAAUGUAUUAGUGGGGUCUGCAUUGUCGGUCCUUGGCGUGAUAAGUUGUUUCUACGUCUUGGAUUUUUGGCGCUGUACACCUGCUUCUAACCGUCUCAUUGACAACGAUGGUGUUCCGGUCGCCGCCGAUUUUUCGGUGGGAGGCUUGACCCACGAAACAAACCUUGACCUCAAAUCGGGUGAGACUACCCGCUGAACUUAAGCAU